rnacentral:sRNA from 1 species
AUCCCCAGCCCCUCACCAGGGCUUUCUAAGGCCACAGUUCCUUUGUCCUCUGCAACUGGACCUGCACCCAGCAUCUGUGUUGGCUGAGUGGACAACGGGUGCAAAGCAGAGCUGGUCCUUUGGCCCUGGGCUGAGCCCCCUGGGAGUCCAGACUAAGCCUCAGGGGAGCAGGGCAAGUACUGCUCCAGUUCUUACCCCAAGCGAGCCACACUUGCCCAGGACCACAGCCACCAAGGCAUACAAGGCUUCAGGAGCAUGGUAGGCAAGGCUCCUGAAGGUUCAAAGCCAUGGGACCCAAGGCACACUUACCCAUGCUUCAGAAGCAUAGGUCCAAGGCACACUUACUUUGGAUGCACGGGGACCAACACCUUGUUGUACUAAACUACUUGACAGACAUCGCAUGAUAAAUUCUGGGAAAAGCUUGUGUUUUAUCUAUUUCUCUGGUUAUUUCAAGACCCAUGGUAUAAUUAUUUUUCAGCACUGAUUUUAUGCCUUAUACCAUAUUUAGGUCUUUUCUUGAAGCAUGAGCAUCGAGGCCCCUCAACUCUUGCAAUGAUUUGGAUUUCCUAGUGGGUGUAUUCAUCUACUAAAAUAUAGGUUCCAGACCCUUUACAGAUUACACAUAGAGUAUUUUCUGAUACCCUUUUCCUUUUAUAUUACUGUGUAUAUAAAUACUUAAUCUAUGAGUUUUUCAAUGUUACUAAAUUAAUCUCCACAAAAUAUACAUUAUCAAAGGAGAAUAUGGGGUCUAAUAUGUUUAAAAACUACCCACCUGACAGUAUUUUAUAGUGACUUGAAGCUUCCUUCAGUACUAACUAGAUUGAUAUUUAUAAAAUAUUCCCUUAGUGAAAAACAUAAUGCUGAAUUUAGAAAGAGAAUUUUAACGAUGACCCCCCCCCCAUCCUGCAUGUCCUGAAAACGUCCUGUCAUUUGGUUUUUCAAACAGUCCUCAGUGGGCAUGCAGUGGGCACUUUAACCCAACCACACACACUGUCUGUAGUGACUAAAAGCUUGUGAAUUAUCAGCUAAGUGACUACGUUAGCAUUUUCCUGUCACCCUGAGGAUGUUCUGACCUAAUAAAUGGUCACCAUUCUCGAAUGAAUUCAAGCAUAUAAACUGUCUGUAUUGAUAUAGCUAUAUUAUCUGUAUCCCAUAUUUUUUAAUUUUUUUUAAACUAGAUGAGAUUUAUAUCACAAAUGUAUGCAUUCCUGAUCUUUGUUUCCACACCAAAGACAAAGUUAGAGAGACGAAAGCGACUCUGGUGUUAUUAAAAAGCAGUAACGACUUCAGGUGUGCGUGGCGGCUCUCCUCCAUCAGAAUUCUGCGUCACAGGGACAAUAGCAAAGUUCCACCUUUUAUUAUGGACGAUCCUGUGGGAGAGGUGUUAAACUAAUUGUCCUACCACGCGGCUGGUGUUGCCUCGUAGUCAAGACCAUCUGAUUCAGCACUUGAGUUUGCAUACUCGAACUGAGGAGGCUCAAGCUUCAGCCUCUGUAAAUUUAUCUCAUCGGGAGAAGGCCCAAGAAAGCAAGUGUGACGAAGGGAUGCUCCGAGAUCGUUCCCACAGAUUAUUUCAGUCAGCAUGCUGUGUGAGGAGCAGUUGCUCCACAUUUUGUAACCCAGUUACUCCGUAUUUUGGUGUAACCAUCCCUCUUCAGUUGUGGAAGCAGUGGAAAGCAGAGGCUGCAACACAGUACAGCACAACCGUGGAUAGUGAGGUUGGCAGGCCAUACAUAGUCAUGUGCCUGCAUGAGACCCAGGGCUGCUCCCCUUUAAAAUGAUGGCAUAUAAGACAGGCCUCUCCACUCUUCACAGAAGUCUCUGAGUCACACCAUAGCGAGUUCUCCAAGUUCUGUUGCGCUGGACUUCCGGUUAGCCUAAUGCCUCUUCUUGCUACUGUCUGGGUUCAAGUACUGCUGUAAAAAGAGUAGCAAUCUGGAGGGAGAUUCCAAAAAUGGUUUCCUUGUGAGAAGAAGAAAGAAGAGCUAGACUUAAGACAACUCUGGACCACAACUGUGAAUCAUAUGAACUUGACAUGCUUCUCCUUACGUUUGCUAUGGUGUCUCAGUGACGACUCAAGUGAAGGCCCCUGAUAAAUACAGCUGCACGGUAAGAUAAAUAAACAAAUACUUUAUUGUGGCUAGUUCACCCAACUGAAACUACUAUCUUCUUCUUGAUAUGUAUUAUAUAGUAUUAUCUCUAGAGCCAUAAGUUAUUUUAGUGGUCUGUUGUGUGUAAUUUUAAAAGCAUGCUACCUCCUUGCCUGGUGCCAUGGCCAUGCUCUACCUCUCUGUGUUCUAGAUCACGUCCAUCCCCCAACCUGGGAAAUCCAGGUUUCUGCACUUCACGGGACCCUGUCACCUAGCUUCGCCAAGCUGUCAGCUAUCUCCUCUUUCUCCUGCCCGUUUUAGCUCCACAGAAGAAAAAUACUACAUAGCUUUAUUAUUUUAAAACUAGCCACAUCACACAAUGCUGGGCUCUUACCAGCUAACCUAUUUCAGCCAUCUGCUGGUGGUGAAGCCACCAUUUCCAGCUUCCCAUUCUAAAAUCUGGCCGAAAGACUUCCUCUUUUCCUGUGUCCCUUCCCUCCCUCCUGGGACUCGGAAAUCCCACCCUUACCUUUCUCCCAGCAAUUGACUCUUAAGAACCAAUUAGGGAGUUUGCACCCCAUACAUCGGUCCUCAACCUUCCUGAUGCUGGAACCCUUGAGUACAGUUCCUUGUUGCAGUGACCUCCCAACCA